AUGAAGAGGGAGGAAGGGGAAGAAGAGGACCUUGUGUGUGGGACGUUCACCUGGAGAAUCUGACAACUUCUCCAUGCUGCACAACGAAAUGCAUUAUUCUGAUGUUUUCGUCAUUUGUGGUUAUAAAUGGUAGACUCUUUUUCUUUUUUUUUUUUUUUUUUUUUUUUUUUUUUUUUUUUCUGGGAUAAUAAUUGGUUAAUAUGUAGACUUAAUCGUCUUGGGUUGGUUUGAUCAGGCAGAUCCUUAUAUAUCCUAAGGGGGACAACGUAGUAGAUUACUUGUCCCUGUAUUUGGAAGUUGCAGAUGCUUCAACAUUAACAUUUGGGUGGACCAGAUAUGCCAAGUUCAGCCUCACCGUGGUUAAUCAACUUGAUAGCAAGAAGUCAAUCACAAUGGGUAUAUAUCUUUAUCUAGUGGCUUGUCAUUUGUUAAAGCGACUUGUUAAAUGA
rnacentral:lncRNA from 1 species